rnacentral:rRNA from 1 species
UACAGAGGUCUCAAGCGUUGUUCGGAUUCAUUGGGCGUAAAGGGUGCGUAGGCGGCGAGGUAAGUCGGAUGUGAAAUCCCGGGGCUCAACCCCGGAACUGCAUUCGAUACUGCUUUGCUUGAGUACUGGAGAGGAGACUGGAAUUUACGGUGUAGCAGUGAAAUGCGUAGAUAUCGGAAGGAACACCAGUGGCGAAAGCGGCUUCCUGGUCCAGCACCGACGUUCAGGCACGAAAGCGUGGGGAGCAAACAGG